rnacentral:rRNA from 1 species
CACGUAGGGUGCGAGCGUUGUCCGGAAUUAUUGGGCGUAAAGAGCUCGUAGGCGGUGUGUCGCGUCGGCCGUGAAAACCUGCAGCUUAACUGUGGGCUUGCGGUCGAUACGGGCAUCACUGGAGUUCGGCAGGGGAGACUGGAAUUCCUGGUGUAGCGGUGGAAUGCGUAGAGAUCGGGAAGAACACCCGUGGCGAAGGCGACAUGCUGGGUUGCACCUGACGCUGAGUUGCGAAAGUGUGGGGAGCAAACGGG